UCAGACCGGAGUAAUCCAGGUCAGUUUCUAUCUAUAUAUUAGUUUCUUCUAGUACGAAAGGACCGAAGAAACGUGGCCCAUAUAAUCACAAGCCACAGUUACUAAACUAUGAUUAAAACUCAAUAAUAUAGUAACCCCCUCCCCAUGCUCUAAAUAAGAGUAG
rnacentral:rRNA from 1 species